AUGUCUGUUCAUGAUAAAUCCCUGAAAACCACUGAGGAAGUGGCUCUUCAGAUCCUCUUGCUUUGCCAGUUUGGGGUUGGGACCAUGGCCAAUGUCUUUCUGUUUGUCCAUAAUUUCUCUCCAGUCUUGACUGGUUCUAAACAGAGACCCAGACAGGUGAUUUUAAGCCACAUGGCUGUGGCCAAUGCCUUGACUCUAUUCCUCACUAAAUUUCCAAACAACAUGAGUGCUUUUGCUCCCAAAACUCCUCCAACUGAACUCAAAUUUAAAUUAGAAUUCUUCAGUCACAUGGUGGCAAGAAGCACAAAUUUGUGUUCCACCUGUAUCCUGAGGAUCCAUCAGUUUGUCACUCUUGUUCCUGUUAAUAGAGGUAAAUGUAAACUUAUACUCAGAGCAAGUGUCCCAAAUUUGUGGAAUUAUUCUUGCUACAGUUGUUGGUUUUACAGUGUCUUAAGUAGUAUCCACAUUCCAAUUAAGGUCACUGGUCCACAGAUAACAGACAAUAACACUGACUCGAAAAGCAACUUGUUCUGUUCCACUUCUUUUUUUUUUUGCGGUUUUAAGUAUGUA
rnacentral:lncRNA from 1 species